AAAAACGUGGUCAAAUCAUGACCUUCAAGUCUGUGCUCUAGACAGAUGCCAGAGUUUCCUACUUGGAAUUCCAAGUUGGAUGACGAUUCAAAACUCAUUUUCCCACCUUUGUAGUUAUCUUGAACACACUGAAGUCGGAUAUUUACGAGUUCCCAGGUGUUUUGAACGAUGCACAAUCAAAGCGUUUGCUACUAAACUUGACAAUGGCCUAAUGUCACGAAAAAUAUAACAAGUUAAUACGUGUGUUUAAUUCAACUAGCUAGUUAUGGAUGAAUAUUAUGAAAGUAUUGUUUUCCGAAGUGAAAGAGUCGAGGAUAACGUGUCUUUAGCUGUGUCUACUGACGACUCCGCACUGGUAAAGGCCUAUGAAGACGCCCUCCGAACAUUUCGGAGGGCUGAAAAAGAGAGCGGUGAGAAGCUUGCAGACAAUCCGCAGACGCUGUCUGAAUCAUAUGUGCCGACCAAAGGACCAGUUGACCCGAAGACCAACUCAAAGGUAUGGAGGCUGGGAUACCGGUGUCGUGCGGUGUACUCCGAGGAUGGCCUGGUCUACCCAGCGGUGCUGGUGUGGUUGAGAGGCGAACGCUGCCGGGUGAAGUUUGAAGGCUACGGGAAUGAGGAAGAGCUGGAGCUGAGCAGCCUGCUAUCUCCAGUAGAACUGGGAGGCCACAGAGGAAGAGUUGAUGCCAAAGUGCAACAAGGAGCUGUUGAUGGGUUCAGCUCCACUAGUAACAACAUUGCUGAUUGGAAGAGGAUGGAAAGAGAUUGGAGGACAGCUCAACAAGAGGGACGAGAGGAGCUGUCCUCACCUCAGCCAUCUAAGUUUGCUCCAGUGAGUCUGGGUGCUGUUCCCUCUGUUUCAGGACACCUGGAAUACAUUGUUGACCAAUGGCCAUGCUUUACUGAGGGAAAAGAUUAUGGCAAAUGCAGCUAUGACUUUGGCAAGGAGCAUGGGGAUAAGAAGAAGCCAAGUGGCCGGCGAGAGGUACCAAACAAUCACCCCUUUUCCUUCUUUCCUCCAGUGCCCAAGGAGUCUCUGGACUUCCUGCCUCCUCCACCUCCACCGUGUGUAUGGCCCCCCCGAGCAGUGCUGGCCGAUGCUAGCAAUGGGCUAGACUCAGCCGUGACAGACAUAUCCAGCAUGCUCCUGUCCUGGUACCUGUGUGGCUACCACACCGGCUGCUACAUGGCAAUGCAACAGACGAAAACAAGUCGCAGGAGGGCUGAUAAAGAGAAACAGGCAGAGGAAUAAGGUCUAUUUGAAUCUUAUAAAAGUAAAGGCCUAAGUUUUGCAGUCACUGAAGAUUGCAGGCUGAGUAAUUCUCGUAUGAGGAUAUAUUAGGACUGAAGAUACCACCCUGGGGAAUUCCACAGACAUUGUCCUAGGAUUAGAAGUUUGGUUGUGUUCCCAUGGUAAGAGGAUUGGGUUUAGAAUUUACUUUAUUGUAAUAUAAUUGUAUUGUAGAAACUUGUUAAGAAAUGCCAGAGCAUCGAAAUGUUUAUCAUUUGAGUGACUAUUAUUUUGUCUGAUAUUGUCAAGUAGGUUACAGUGUACUAGAGCAAAAAUAAAUAUGUUCUCUGUGUCUCUGUACCCACAGUGUGAUGCGGAUCAGCAAUGUGCAGUUAGCAAAGGUGCAAGAAUUGGGAAGUUGUGCGAGUGUUCACAGGGAACGAGGGAAUCGAGGAUGACAGCUACCAUCUGAUCAAUCAUCACACUGUAUGAGGACAAAUUGUGUUU